rnacentral:sRNA from 1 species
UGAUAAUGAUGAUGAAG